CUCCUGGUGGCUCAGACGGUAAAGAAUCUGCCUGCAAUGCAGGAGACCCAGGUUCGAUCCCUGGGUUGGAAA
rnacentral:tRNA from 1 species